UGCGGGGAAGUGGAACGGAAUUACCAUGCGAGGCUCAUAACCUCAGCGAUAGCAGGUUCGACUCCUGCCCCCGCGACUA
rnacentral:tRNA from 1 species